rnacentral:lncRNA from 1 species
CUCAUUGAUGCAAGCGGUAUUUCUACUCUGCUCGUUGACGCGAGCGGUAUUUUUACUCUACUUAUUGAUGUGAGCGAUGUUUUUACUUUAUUUAUUGACACGAGUGAUAUUUUUGCUCUGCUCGAUGAUGCGAGCGGCAUUUUUGCUCGCUCGUUGAUGUGAUAGGCUGAUCAAAGGCCAAUUAUUGCAAACUGAGAGUCCUUUUGGUUAGCUCUUUGAAGAUUUUUUUAGGCUAGCCUUCAUUCAUUAAACAUGAUUUCGAUCAAAAGAAUCCUUGGAAGCUCGGCUCCAACCAGAAGAACUUCGGUAAGAAUAAUUUUGAUUAAAAAAACCUUUGUAGAGCUCGUAGGAUCGGAGUUUAAGCUUUUCGUGCAACUUUUAUAGACAAAUAUAAAUUGAUAAACCUAAAAAUUUAUAUAUAUAAUAAGGGCAAGAUAUUACAAUAUCAUUGAUGAUACAUAUGUAGGUUGGUCGAAUUCCAUGGCCUAGGGAGUGGAGUUCCAUCGAGUUGCUUUAACCGAUAGAUCUAGCAGGAUGUACUACCUCAUCCAUUUGAUAAGAAUCUUGCCAAUUGUGUGAUAGUUUCUUCUAUUCAGUGAGCUGUGAAACUUUAGCUUGUCGUAAUAUCACGUCGCCAACUUGAAACUCUUUGGUCUUGACUCAAGCAUUGUAGAAUCUGACCACCCUCUGACGAAAGGCAGCCAUUCUCAUAGCGGCAUGCUCCCUGCUUUCUUCGAUCAGGUCGAGCUUAGCCCGGAGCCACACUGAGUUGGUAUCUUCAUUAUACUCCUCCACUUUGAGGGAUGGGAGCUCAAAUUCCAUAGGUAUGACCGCUUCAGUCCCAAAUGCU